UCGGGAAUCUUCGGCAAUGGGCGCAAGCCUGACCGAGCUACGCCGCGUGCGAGAUGAAGGCCUUCGGGUUGUAAAUCGCUGUCAGUGGGGAGGAAAUGCCGGUGGUUUCUCCCAUCGUUUGGACCUAUCCGCAGAGGAAGGACGGGCUAAGUUCGUGCCAGAAGCCGCGGUAAGCCGAACCGUCCAACCGUUAUUCGGAAUCACUGGGCUUAAAGGGUGCGUAGGCGGCCCGGAAAGUUGGGUGUGAAAGCCCUCGGCUCAACCGAGGAACAGCGCCCAAAACUGCCGGGCUCGAGGAAGACAGAGGUGAGCGGAACUUAGGGUGGAGCGGUGAAAUGCGUUGAUAUCCUAAGGAGCACCAGUAGCGAAAGCGGCUCACUGGGUCUUUUCUGACGCUGAUGCACGAAAGCUAGGGGAGCAAAGA
rnacentral:rRNA from 1 species